AUGACACCUGUUUCACGACCAACGAACAGUCACAUUUUGCUAGUGUCCGAGCUUAUUGAUCCUCAUACUUGGUCGUGGAGACGGGAUCUGGUCAGAAGUAACUUCACUGCCACAGAUGCUGCGACCAUUCUCAACAUACCUAUUCGGUCAGGCGGUGGCAAUGAUUUUAUUGCUUGGGCAUUUGAAAACACAGGCAACUACACUGUUAAAUCAGCGUACCGAUCUCUUGUGACUCAGAACGAGCGUUUGGCUCUAGAGGAAUGGACGGCUACCGGAACUUCAUUGAGUGAUCAACAGUUGUGGAAAGCCUUGUGGAAGUUGAAUGUUAUCCCAAAAGUUAGAGUGUUC
rnacentral:rRNA from 1 species